rnacentral:rRNA from 1 species
AAGGAACGUUGAAGACGACGACGUUGAUAGGUCGGGUGUGUAAGCGUAGCGAUACGUUGAGCUAACCGAUACUAAUGAACCGUGAGGCUUAACCUU